GGCUCCGAUUCCUUCACACACACACCCUGGGGGCCCCAGAGAAUAAAAGUUUUGCUGGAGCCUGGGCAAAGGCGGGGUACACGGCGCCCGGCAACGCGGCACGAUCGGCGCUAAGCCGCAGGCGGCCGGCCCGGCUCUGCCUCACUCUCCCCGGCACCUCCAGCCUCGGCUCUGCUCGGCUCGGUUUUGCCUGCGAGCUCCCUCCUCGCGCCCCGGCUCGCGCUCGCCCCGCCCUGUGCGCUCGCCCCGCCCCGUCCCGCCCCCUCGAGCAGGGAUUCGAGACCCUGCGAUGCUCCCACCGAGCUGUCAGAGGCUAAGGAAGCUCUGCGCUGCUGGCGCGCGCUUGAAGCCCUGGGCGGGCCAGAGGAACACGGGGGGAGGCCACGGAGGCGUCCGCCGCCCGGCUCCUGCAGCUGGCCGUCCCCGCCGCCAGUGCGGCUCCGUGGUCAAGAUAAUGCGGACCCUGCCAGCCUUGGGCUUGGUUUCCUCGGAGCCGCAGCCGCUUGCUGGGAAGUAGAGAAGCGCACGUGAGCGUUCCCCCCUCCGGCAGGCUGCACCGUAGUGCGGUCCCGGCAUCGCCAGGCAUAAGGCAAGCGAGAAGGGACGCAUUUCUCCCGCUUCGCAAAGCGAGACGGAGAAGCUCAAGUAGUUGGCGGCAGCCUGAGCGUUUUGCUACCGGGGCCUGCCGGAGUGGAAGGCCUCACGGCCUUCUCCUGCCCGAGAACCACAGAAUGGGAGAACUCGAGUCACAUCAAGCGUGCGCGUAUGAUCAUCUCUGAAGCGGCAAGGAAGGUCUGGCCGCGACGCUGGGAUCAGGAGUUUACUAAAGCCAUGCCUAGUCGCAACCCUGCCACAAGGAGACAGGCAGCUUCCGAAUGGAGCCGCGGGGCGAGGGCGGGCUGUGAUUCUACCCUUUGGGCUGGUGCCAUGGAGUAGCGGAUAAAGCCACUGUCUGCAGUGCCAGCAUCCCAUAUGGGCACUGGUUCUAGUCCCACCUGCUCUACUUCCAAUCCAGCUUUCUGCUAAGGCCUGGGAAAGCAGUAGAAGAAGAUGGCCCAAGUCCUUGGGCCCCUGCACCUGCUUUGGAGAUGCACAAGAAGCUCCUGGCUCCUGGCUUUGAAUUGGUGCAGCUCUGGCCGUUGCGGCCAUCUGGGGAGUUACCCAUCGGAUGGAAGACCUCUCUCUCUGCCUCUGCCUCUCAAAUAAAUGGGGGAUCUUAAAAAAAAAAAGUCAUUUUCCUAGAAGUAUCUGAGGUGUUUCAUUGACUGUUGCACUGAAUUCUCACAGAACACAUACUUGUGGUGUCUGCUUGUUUUCUUUAUGUGACGUUCAAAGGAAGCAUCAAAAUAAUCACCAGCACAGGUCUAGUUAAUCUCUUUCCCUAUAUGGUUUUUCACUCUAAAUUUUCUCUAAUGUUACUUGACAUUUCAUUCGCAUCCUGAGAUGUGGCUGUCGUAUAAAUCAAUUACUACUCUAUAUUUUUUUUCAAUAGAUCCUCUGGAAAGGUCAAGGAAAGAAAUGCUCAGUUAAGUGAGAGGAAAAUGAAAAUAACAACUCUUCACUUCUAUUAUUACUGUUUAUAACAUCAGAAGCCUGAUAGUGAAGAAUGGCUAAUCAUUUUCUGCUAUUUGUUUUUAAUUUAUACCAAUUCUUUAGUCUAUUGGAAUGCCCCAUUUCUGAAAAAGGCAAACAAAAUUGCUAUUUUCUUUUAAUGGUACCUAGAGAAAAGAAUCAUGGGCUUUACCUUGUGAUUCUACUACAUACACUAUUUAAAAAUUUCUUUUCAGAAAUUACUUCUUACAAUAUAAAUCAAUUUAUAUGCAUUUUUUAUUUUGUCAGGGGGCCAGGGAGAGAAGAGGAGGGACAAAAAUGGAGAAGUUAUUGCUAUGAGAUAAAAUCUAGUUUUCACUCUUCUCCUAUAAACAUCUUUUCUUUUUAUCUUCAUAGACUUUAUCCUUUUCUUCAAGUCUCUCUUCCAGUCAUAUAUUUUGUUUUGUUUUCCCAUUAUAGUCAGCAAGCCUUAGCACGUCUCUUUUCCAACCUUUUCUUGACCACAGAACAGUUUUCAUUCCUGAAGGAAGUCUUCUGUUUCAGAAAACAAAGCCCAUGUAAUUAUCUUGCAGGCAAAAACCAUUAUAUACGUUCCCAGCUAUUCCACCAGUCUUCCCUUAUCAUUUCCUUCUGCUCUCUUUGUGUCUGAUAAUGCAUGUGCUCAUACUGAGCUACUAUCAUCUGUAUCGUCUGAUUAUAGACAUUGUGAAGGCUCAUCAUGCUUUAAUGUUUCUCAUAAUCUCUAUUCAGAGGAUAGCAAAGUCUCUCAAGCAAUGCAAUAUGUAAAGAAGCCUAUGGAUGGGCAAUUAAAUGUUCCACUUCUUUGCUCA